ensembl:lncRNA
UGUAGAGAUGAGGUCUCACUAUGUUGCCCAGCCUGGUCUCAAAUCUCAAACUCCUGGGCUUAAGUGAUCCUCUUGUCAUAGCCUUCCAAAGUGCUGGGAUUACAGGCAUGAACCACCGUGCCCAGCCGAAAUACCAGCUUCUACUCCGUGGAAUGGCUAGAAUCUAAAUGGCAGCUAAUAGCAAGUGGUGGCGAGGGUGUGGAGAACUUGGAACCCUUGGGCAUUGCUGGUGGGAAUGUGAACUGAUGGAGCUGCUACGGAAAAGUCUGGCAGUUUCGCAGAAAGUUAAACACAGGGUUACCACAUGACCCAGAAAUUCUACUCCUAAGUAUAUACCCAAGGCAGCUGAAUACAUGUUUACACAAAAGCUCGUACAUCAGUCUUCCCUGAAGCAUUAUUCACAACAGCUCUGAAUGGAAAAAACCCAAAUAUCCACCAAGUUCAACAAAAUGUUUAUCCUGAUCCACACGAUGGAAUAUGACUCAGCCAUAAAGAAGAACGAGGUUCUGACACCUGGCACAAGACGCAGGCACAUCUUGAAAACAUUAGGCCGAGAGAAGGCCCCCGUCGCCAGCAUCGGCUCUGUCCACUCUUUGCCUGAGGAGCCCCGUUUUUCCAAGGACCAUGCAGUGGUCUCACCUAUGCCUCAGUGGGCCUGGGGGCCAGCAUGAGGGUCCCCAAAGCGAUGCCUAAGCCCUGGACUCAUGGGCAAUGAUGCAGGACCUCGGAUUCCGUCCCCCAACCCGGGCGGCAUGCCCCAGGACCACGGCUGUGCUCGGGUGGUGUUACCCCCGGGAGAACCCUGCCCGGCCUGCUGGUGCCGGUGACAUUCAGAUAUUUUAGGGGGACACCUCUGGAGGCUGUCCACAGCCCUGCUCUCCCUCCCAUCCAGACAGGACUCCACGGGGGUGCUGGGAGGCAGAUCCUUGCCAAAGAUGCUAGGUGGGCAGACGCCCUCCCCUCCGACCACUGAUGCCUCGUUCCUGGGCCCAGCCUGGUGCUGGACUCCACCACCCCAUGCCUCAUUUAUCAGGAGUGUACUGAGUGUCCACCGCUGGGCAAGAGACCUCACGCGUAUCCCCACCUUUAAACCCCAACGCUUCUGGAGCAGGUGUUCACGUUCCCGGUGAGGAAACAGGUUCCAGGUGGACACAGCUGCGGCUCUCAGCUCAUCAGGUGCUGCCCUGGACUCUCCCAAGUGGACCUUCAGCGCCCACCAGACAGACACAUCUAGACCGGUCUGGACCCCACGCGUGGCUGUCCCUGGGGCCCACAUGGUUCCACGGCUGACACCUCUCAACUUGAGCUAGAGGUAGACAGGGUCCACACAACCUCAAAGCCGGCCUCGCCCGCUGUCAACUCCACACCUCUCCCACCUCAAGGACUCUCUGGGGACACUCUCCCCACACUGGCCCAAGUUCCAAGGCCCUUCCUGUCUGUCUCCCUUCCCAAGAAGUGGAAAGGGAGGGGCCGUGAGCCAUCCCCAUCCACUAGCUGCUGCCCCCUUUGGUGCGAAGGGCAGAGAUCCCUCUGCCACAGUGAGAGGAGCCUCGGUCCGCUGGUGGGGUCCUCAACGAAAGCUAGAUCCCCG